rnacentral:rRNA from 1 species
CGCGUAGGCGGAUGUUACAGUCAGGCGUGAAAUUCCUAGGCUCAACCUGGGGGCUGCGUUUGAUACGUGAUGUCUGGAGUUCGGAAGAGGGUCGUGGAAUUCCCAGUGUAGAGGUGAAAUCGUAGAUAUUGGGAAGAACACCGGUGGCGAAGGCGGCGACCUGGUCCGAUACUGACGCUGAGGCGCGAAAGCGUGGGGAGCAAACAGGAUUAGAUACCCUGGUAGUCCACGCUGUAAACGAUGUGCGCUGGAUGUUGGGUGACAUAGUCAUUCAGUGUCGUAGCUAACGCGAUAAGCGCACCGCCUGGGGAGUACGGCCGCAAGGUUGAA